ACAUUACCGUCGUUUUCGUGUCUCGUCACGGUGUGACAUUACUAUGGAUACGAUUAAUAUGAAGUCAAAGUUUAUGACGAACUACAUACAAAUUAUAAAAAUUUGGCUAAAAAUACUAGUUUUUUAUCUGAUGAACAAUAUAAUGAGUUCAGAGUUGAUAAAAAUUAUUGUAGAACUUAAGCUGGACGUAAGAAAAAACAGCUUAAAAACUUCCAUUUAAUUAAAAGGUAUGACGUGUUCGUUGCACAAGGAAAAACAAAACUUAUAUUUCCUGUAAAAGAUGACAUUGUUAUACGGUAUUAUGUGCCCAACAGCUCACUGUUUGAUUAUGUUUUGCAAACCACACACGUGUCAAUAGAAUACGGUGGGUAUGAUCGAAUGAUCAAGGAAUUUAGUAAUAAAUAUAAAAAUAUAACACGUAAUGACAUAGAGAAAUUUUUGAAUUUUUGUGAACCAUGUCAACAAAAACAAAAAGGCUCGAAAAAAGGAGUAGUAGUUAAACCAAUAAUAUCUUCUGACUUAAAUUCCCGAUGCCAAGUUGAUUUGAUAGAUUUCCAGUCUCAUCGUGAUGGGAAAUUUAAAUUAAUUUUGGUGUACCAGGAUCGCCUCACACAACUUGUUGUUCUCAAACCAAUUCAAAUGUCGAAAAUGAAGUAUCAGACACAGAACAACUAUUAAUUACAACUAUCCGGGCAACUAUUAAAUUAAAUAACGAAAACCCCAAUGUCAUGCCAACUAGAGCCGAGGAAAAUUUUGAAAAUUAAGCUAAAAAAAAUGUUGGCGUGGUCGGAUAAGAAGCUAUUGCCGGUGGCAGUUCAUUCAACUGUACGUGUUCCAGUUCCUGAAGUAGAUAAAGGACGUUUAGACGCAGUGUUUGUAAGACAAAGUGUCAAAAUAGAAAGUGCAUUUGCCUUAAAAAUAAUGUUUUGUGCACUUCAAAAUGCCAUUUUUCUACAACAUGUUGUAAUAUGUAGCUAGUAUUUUAAGUAAAAUAUUUAAAUAAUAUAGCAAUACCUAUGUA